CGCGUCUCCGUUGAUGAUUUUAGGUGCUUGCACUUGAAAGAUUUAACAUUGAGACGAGUGGCGAACUGGUGAGUAACACGUGGGUAACCUGCCCUUGAAGUAGGGGAUAACACUUGGAAACAGGUGCUAAUACCGUAUAACAACCAAAACCACCUGGUUUUGGUUUAAAAGACGGCUUCGGCUGUCACUUUAGGAUGGACCCGCGGCGUAUUAGCUUGUUGGUAAGGUAACGGCCUACCAAGGCGAUGAUACGUAGCCGACCUGAGAGGGUAAUCGGCCACAUUGGGACUGAGACACGGCCCAAACUCCUACGGGAGGCAGCAGUAGGGAAUCUUCCACAAUGGACGAAAGUCUGAUGGAGCAACGCCGCGUGAGUGAUGAAGGGUUUCGGCUCGUAAAACUCUGUUGUUGGAGAAGAACAGGUGUCAGAGUAACUGUUGACAUCUUGACGGUAUCCAACCAGAAAGCCACGGCUAACUACGUGCCAGCAGCCGCGGUAAUACGUAGGUGGCAAGCGUUGUCCGGAUUUAUUGGGCGUAAAGCGAGCGCAGGCGGUUUUUUAGGUCUGAUGUGAAAGCCUUCGGCUUAACCGGAGAAAUGCAUCGGAAACCGGGAGACUUG
rnacentral:rRNA from 2 species